rnacentral:tRNA from 1 species
GGUGAUUAUAACUCAGUUGGUUAGAGUGUCAGAUUGUGAUUCUGGAAGUCACGGGUUCAAGUCCCGUUAUUCACC